AACGCUUUUCCUGCACAGUGCAAUAAAUACUUGCCUUAUUAUUAAUCUUUAUACAUCUUUUCUCUCUCUUAUAACAUGAGAGAUACUUUCCUAAGGAUCCAAUAAACUCUUCCCAGGACUGGUUCUCCAUUUCUUUCGGCUCUUCUUGGUACGAUAAUACCUAUCACCUGAAGAAUCACAUGGUAAGUUCCAACUCGGAGAGAGCAAGGAAAGUGAGUGAAAUCUCAAGGCAAGCGAGUUCUACCGGAAAGUUGAGAGUCGUAUCAGAGAAAAAAAAAAAAA
rnacentral:lncRNA from 1 species